rnacentral:rRNA from 1 species
CCUACGGGGGGCAGCAGUGAGGAAUAUUGGUCAAUGGGCGUAAGCCUGAACCAGCCAAGUCGCGUGAGGGAUGAAGGUUCUAUGGAUCGUAAACCUCUUUUAUAAGGGAACAAAGUGUGGGUCGAGUCCCGUUCUGUAUGUACCUUAUGAAUAAGCAUCGGCUAACUCCGUGCCAGCAGCCGCGGUAAUACGGAGGAUCCGAGCGUUAUCCGGAUUUAUUGGGUUUAAAGGGUGCGUAGGCGGCCUUUUAAGUCAGCGGUGAAAGUCUGUGGCUCAACCAUAGCAUUGCCGUUGAAACUGGGAGGCUUGAGUAUGUUUGAGGCAGGCGGAAUGCGUGGUGUAGCGGUGAAAUGCUUAGAUAUCGCGCAGAACCCCGAUUGCGAAGGCAGCCUGCC